UAGGGAAUCUUCCGCAAUGGACGCAAGUCUGACGGAGCAACGCCGCGUGAGUGAAGAAGGAUUUCGGCUCGUAAAACUCUGUUGUUAGAGAAGAACAGCGCAUAGAGUAACUGUUAUGCGUGUGACGGUAUCUAACCAGAAAGCCACGGCUAACUACGUGCCAGCAGCCGCGGUAAUACGUAGGUGGCAAGCGUUGUCCGGAUUUAUUGGGCGUAAAGCGAGCGCAGGCGGUCAAUUAAGUCUGAUGUGAAAGCCCCCGGCUCAACCGGGGAGGGUCAUUGGAAACUGGUUGACUUGAGUGCAGAAGAGGAGAGUGGAAUUCCAGGUGUAGCGGUGAAAUGCGUAGAUAUAUGGAGGAACACCAGUGGCGAAGGCGACUCUCUGGUCUGUAACUGACGCUGAGGCUCGAAAGCGUGGGUAGCAAACAGG
rnacentral:rRNA from 1 species